CUUAAAGGAAUUGACGGGACCCGCACAAGCGUGGAUCAUGUUGUUAAUUCGAUGAUACGCGAAGAACCUUACCAGGUCUUGACAUCCCUUGCAAAGCUAUGGAGACAUAGUGGAGGUUAUCAAGGAGACAGGUGGUGCAUGGUUGUCGUCAGCUCGUGUCGUGAGAUGUUGGGUUAAGUCCCGCAACGAGCGCAACCCUUAUUGCUAGUUACCAUCAUUAAGUUGGGGACUCUAGCGAGACUGCCGGUAAUAAACCGGAGGAAGGUGGGAUGACGUCAAAUCAUCAUGCCCCUUAUGACCUGGGCUACACACGUGCUACAAUGGUUGGUACAACGAGUUGCGAGUCGGUGACGGCGAGCUAAUCUCUUAAAGCCAAUCUCAGUUCGGAUUGUAGGCUGCAACUCGCCUACAUGAAGUCGGAAUCGCUAGUAAUCGCGGAUCAGCACGCCGCGGUGAAUACGUUCCCGGGCCUU
rnacentral:rRNA from 1 species